CGAGCGCACCUUCGAGUGAGCGGCGGACGGGUUAGUAACGCGUGGGAACGUACCCUUUUCUAAGGAAUAGCCACUGGAAACGGUGAGUAAUACCUUAUACGCCCUUCGGGGGAAAGAUUUAUCGGAGAAGGAUCGGCCCGCGUUAGAUUAGAUAGUUGGUGGGGUAACGGCCUACCAAGUCUACGAUCUAUAGCUGGUUUUAGAGGAUGAUCAGCAACACCGGGACUGAGACACGGCCCAGACUCCUACGGGAGGCAGCAGUGGGGAAUCUUGGACAAUGGGCGCAAGCCUGAUCCAGCCAUGCCGCGUGAGUGAUGAAGGCCUUAGGGUCGUAAAGCUCUUUCGCUGGGGAUGAUAAUGACAGUACCCAGUAAAGAAACCCCGGCUAACUCCGUGCCAGCAGCCGCGGUAAUACGGAGGGGGUUAGCGUUGUUCGGAAUUACUGGGCGUAAAGCGCGCGUAGGCGGAUUGGAAAGUUGGGGGUGAAAUCCCGGGGCUCAACCUCGGAACUGCCUCCAAAACUAUCAGUCUAGAGUUCGAGAGAGGUGAGUGGAAUUCCGAGUGUAGAGGUGAAAUUCGUAGAUAUUCGGAGGAACACCAGUGGCGAAGGCGGCUCACUGGCUCGAUACUGACGCUGAGGUGCGAAAGUGUGGGGAGCAAACAGGAUUAG
rnacentral:rRNA from 1 species